GACGAACGCUGGCGGCGUGCUUAACACAUGCAAGUCGAACGGAAAGGCCCUGCUUUUGUGGGGUGCUCGAGUGGCGAACGGGUGAGUAACACGUGAGUAUCCUGCCCUUGACUUUGGGAUAUCUUCAGGAAACUGGGGCUAAUACCGGAUAGGAGCUCCUGCUGCAUGGUGGGGGUUGGAAAGUUUCGGCGGUUGGGGAUGGACUCGCGGCUUAUCAGCUUGUUGGUUGGGUAGUGGCUUACCAAGGCUUAGACGGGUAGCCGGCCUGAGAGGGUGACCGGCGACAAUAGGACUGAGAGACGGAGCAGACGCCUACGGGAGGCAGCAGUGGAGAAUAUUGCACAGUGAGCGGGAGCCUGAUGCGGCGACGCCGGGUGCGUGAUGACGGCCUACGGGGUAUAAACCGCUUUCGCCUGUGACGAAGCGUGAGUGACGGUAACGGGUAAAGAAGCACCGGCUAACUACGUG
rnacentral:rRNA from 1 species